AACCCUGAAUUUAAAAGAAGAUGCAAAUGUGUGUGAAAGCUCUAGCACACUGCAGGUGUUCCCUUGCUUCUGUAACACUGAAGGAGAGGGGGCAGCCUGCUGGAGCAGUCCUUCUCCGCACAGGCAUGGAGGGACCCAGGAGCAUGGUACAUAGAAAGUAUAUCUCUAAAGAUGCAAUUUAUGGCUCAGUGGCUUGGACAAAAGGAAAAAGGUCAAUUCACUGAAGAGGGAAUACUGAGCAGGGAACAAAUUGGAGGGAAGGAUGAAAGACAUGAGAUUAUAAUAAACUUCCCAAACUUACCUUAAGUGUGUCCCCAUUCAUGAACUCUUACAGGCCAAGCACAGGAACAAAUUUCAGGUAACAUGUUAGGUUCAUUUUUGACAUGUUGAGUUUAAGAUAACAUGAAAUCAUUAAAAAUGAUGAUUUCAAACAGUUAUACUGGUCUGGAGGUUAGAGGAGAAGUCAUGGGCAAAGAUA